rnacentral:rRNA from 1 species
AUUGAACGCUGGCGGCAUGCCUUACACAUGCAAGUCGAACGGCAGCACGGGAGCAAUCCUGGUGGCGAGUGGCGAACGGGUGAGUAAUGUAUCGGAACGUGCCCAGUCGUGGGGGAUAACGUAGCGAAAGCUACGCUAAUACCGCAUACGAUCUGUGGAUGAAAGCGGGGGACCGUAAGGCCUCGCGCGAAUGGAGCGGCCGAUAUCAGAUUAGGUAGUUGGUGAGGUAAAGGCCUACCAAGCCGACGAUCUGUAGCUGGUCUGAGAGGACGACCAGCCACACUGGGACUGAGACACGGCCCAGACUCCUACGGGAGGCAGCAGUGGGGAAUUUUGGACAAUGGGCGCAAGCCUGAUCCAGCAAUGCCGCGUGCAGGAUGAAGGCCUUCGGGUUGUAAACUGCUUUUGUACGGAGCGAAAAGGCUCUCUCUAAUACAGGGGGCUCAUGACGGUACCGUAAGAAUAAGCACCGGCUAACUACGUGCCAGCAGCCGCCGUAA